GAUGAACGCUGGCGGCGUGCCUAAUACAUGCAAGUCGAGCGAACGGACGAUAAGCUUGCUUUUCUGAUGUUAGCGGCGGGCGGGUGAGUAACACGUGGAUCACCUACCUAUAUUACUGGGAUAACUUCGGAAAACCGGCUCUAAUACCAUCUAAUAUUUUGAACCGCAUGGUGCAAAGGUAAAUCACGGCUUUGCUGUUUCUAUUAGCUGAUUCCGCGCUGGAUUAGCUAGUUGUUACGGUAACGGCUUACCAAGGCGACGAUGCAUAGCCGACCUGAGAGGGUGAUCGGCCACACUGGAGCUGAGACACGGUCCAGACUCCUACGGGAGGCAGCAGUAGGGAAUCUUAGGCAAUGGGCGAAAGCCUGACGGAGCAACGCCGCGUGAGUGAUGAAGGUCUUCGGAUCGUAAAACUCUGUUAUUAGGGAAGAACAGAUGUGGAAGUAAAUGUGCACAUCUUGACGGUACCUAAUCAGAAAGCAACGGCUAACUACGUG
rnacentral:rRNA from 1 species